rnacentral:rRNA from 1 species
UCCUUAGAGCGCGAAUAGGGGCAACCCUUAGUAGAGCGGCGCACGGGUGCGUAACACGUGGGUAAUCUGCCCUAAAGCCUGGGAUAACCAGCCGAAAGGUUGGCUAAUACCGGAUAAGACCUCGGACUCCUCGGAGUCUGCGGGAAAAGGUGGCCUCUGUAUACAAGCUAUCGCUUUUGGAUGAGCCCGCGGCCCAUCAGCUAGUUGGCGGGGUAAUGGCCCACCAAGGCGACGACGGGUAGCUGGUCUGAGAGGACGAUCAGCCACACUGGAACUGAGACACGGUCCAGACUCCUACGGGAGGCAGCAGUGGGGAAUUUUGCGCAAUGGGCGAAAGCCUGACGCAGCAACGCCGCGUGUGUGAUGAAGGUCUUCGGAUUGUAAAGCACUUUCGGCCGGGACGAAAACCCGGAGGCUAACAUCCUCCGGCUUGACGGUACCGGAAGAAGAAGCACCGGCUAACUCUGUGCCAGCAGCCGCGGUAAUACAGAGGGUGCAAGCGUUGUUCGGAAUUAUUGGGCGUAAAGCGCGUGUAGGCGGCUUUGCAAGUCGGGUGUGAAAGCCCUCGGCUAACCCGAGGAAGUGCGCCCGAAACUGCAGAGCUUGAGUACCGGAGAGGAUGGCCGGAAUUCCCAAGUAGAGGUGAAAUUUCGUAGAUAUGGGGGAGGAACACCGGUUGGC